rnacentral:rRNA from 1 species
AGAGAAAGUGGAAUUCCAGGUGUAGCAGUGAAAUGCGUAGAUAUCUGGAGGAACNUNNGUGGCGAAGGCGACUUCCUGGCUUAAAACUGACGCUGAGGUGCGAAAGCUUGGGUAGCGAACGGGAUUAGAUACCCCGGUAGUCCAAGCCGUNAACGAUGUCAACUAGCUGUUGGUCUUAUUNAAAAGAUUAGUAGCGUACGUAACGCGAUAAGUUGACCGCCUGGGGAGUACGGUCGCAAGAU